UACGUAGGGUGCAAGCGUUGUCCGGAAUUAUUGGGCGUAAAGAGCUCGUAGGCGGUCUGUUGCGUCCGCUGUGAAAACUCGGGGCUUAACCCCGAGCCUGCAGUGGAUACGGGCAGACUAGAGGUAGGUAGGGGAGAAUGGAAUUCCCGGUGUAGCGGUGAAAUGCGCAGAUAUCGGGAGGAACACCGGUGGCGAAGGCGGUUCUCUGGGCCUUACCUGACGCUGAGGAGCGAAAGCUAGGGGAGCAAACAGG
rnacentral:rRNA from 1 species